rnacentral:rRNA from 1 species
GACUCUCGGCAACGGAUAUCUCGGCCCUCGUAUCUAUGAAGAACGCAGCAAAAUGCGAUACUUGGUGUGAAUUGCAGAAUCCCGUGAAUCAUUGAGUUUUUCAAUGCAAGUCAUGCCCGAAGCCUUUCGGCCGAUGGCACGCCUACUUGGGUGUCA